UGAUCCAGAGAUGUCCGAAUGGGGGAACCCGGCAGGUAAUGCCUGUCACUCAUUACUGUUAAGGUAAUGUAGAGGAAGACGCAGUGAACUGAAACAUCUAAGUAGCUGCAGGAAGAGAAAGCAAAAGCGAUUGCCUUAGUAGCGGCGAGCGAAACGGCAAGAGGGCAAACCGAAGAGUUUACUCUUCGGGGUUGUAGGACUGCAACGUGGACUUAAAGAUUAUAGAAGAACUACCUGGGAAGGUAGGCCAAAGAGAGUAAUAGCCUCGUAUUCGAAAUAGUCUUUAUACCUAGCAGUAUCCUGAGUACGGCGAGACACGAGAAAUCUCGUCGGAAUCUGGGAGGACCAUCUCCCAACCCUAAAUACUCUCUAGUGACCGAUAGUGAACCAGUACCGUGAGGGAAAGGUGAAAAGCACCCCGGGAGGGGAGUGAAAUAGAACCUGAAACCGUGUGCCUACAACAAGUUCGAGCCCGUUAAUGGGUGAGAGCGUGCCUUUUGUAGAAUGAACCGGCGAGUUACGAUAUGAUGCGAGGUUAAGUUGAAGAGACGGAGCCGUAGGGAAACCGAGUCUUAAUAGGGCGCAUUAGUAUCAUGUCGUAGACCCGAAACCAUGUGACCUACCCAUGAGCAGGUUGAAGGUGAGGUAAAACUCACUGGAGGACCGAACCAGGGCACGUUGAAAAGUGCUUGGAUGACUUGUGGGUAGCGGAGAAAUUCCAAACGAACUUGGAGAUAGCUGGUUCUCUCCGAAAUAGCUUUAGGGCUAGCGUCGAUGUUAAGUCUCUUGGAGGUAGAGCACUGUUUGGGUGAGGGGUCCAUCCCGGAUUACCAAUCUCAGAUAAACUCCGAAUGCCAAUGAGAUAUAAUCGGCAGUCAGACUGCGAGUGCUAAGAUCCGUAGUCGAAAGGGAAACAGCCCAGACCACCAGCUAAGGUCCCAAAAUAUAUGUUAAGUGGAAAAGGAUGUGGGGUUGCACAGACAACUAGGAUGUUAGCUUAGAAGCAGCUAUUCAUUCAAAGAGUGCGUAAUAGCUCACUAGUCGAGUGACCCUGCGCCGAAAAUGUACCGGGGCUAAAACAUAUUACCGAAGCUGUGGAUACCUUUAUAGGUAUGGUAGGAGAGCGUUCUAUGUGCGAAGAAGGUGUACCGUGAGGAGUGCUGGAGCGCAUAGAAGUGAGAAUGCCGGUAUGAGUAGCGAAAGACAGGUGAGAAUCCUGUCCACCGUAAGACUAAGGUUUCCAGGGGAAGGCUCGUCCGCCCUGGGUUAGUCGGGACCUAAGGCGAGGCCGAAAGGCGUAGUCGAUGGACAACUGGUUGAUAUUCCAGUACUAGAUAUGAUCGUGAUGGAGGGACGCAGUAGGCUAAGAGAUGCCAGUUAAUGGAUUCUGGUCUAAGCAGUGAGGUGUGAGAUGUGUCAAAUGCAUUUCUCUUUAACAUUGAGCUGUGAUGGGGAAGCAACUACGGUUGCGAACUCUCUGAUGUCACACUGCCAAGAAAAGCUUCUAGCGUAAAGUCAUAUCUACCCGUACCGCAAACCGACACAGGUAGUCGAGGCGAGUAGCCUCAGGUGAUCGAGAGAACUCUCGUUAAGGAACUCGGCAAAAUAGCCCCGUAACUUCGGGAGAAGGGGUGCUGGUGUAAAAGCCAGCCGCAGUGAAUAGGCCCAAGCAACUGUUUAUCAAAAACACAGCUCUCUGCUAAAUCGUAAGAUGAUGUAUAGGGGGUGACGCCUGCCCGGUGCUGGAAGGUUAAGAGGAGUGCUUAGCGUAAGCGAAGGCAUGAAUUGAAGCCCCAGUAAACGGCGGCCGUAACUAUAACGGUCCUAAGGUAGCGAAAUUCCUUGUCGGGUAAG
rnacentral:rRNA from 1 species